GCGACGCGCGGGCCGUCCUCUCGCACACGCGGCUUUGGAGGCGGGUGUCUGACUCUUGGUCUACCGCUUGCUGAGACCCCUUCCCCCUCGGGUCAGAGGCGCCUUUGCGCUCCGGUUCUUAGCCUUCUCUCGGUGCCCCGGCGACAGAAAGAUGACACAGAGACAUAGAGAGGGAAAGGCCCUGAGACAUGGAGAAGUCGAGACCCAGUUACCACCAAGAAGUGAAGUCCCAGACACAUGUACCUGGUGAACCCAUCCCAGCUGAGGGACCAGUCAUUGAGGGAAGAAGCCACCUAGGUUGUCCCAGCCAUCUGAGCUGUUCCUCAUUACCUGGAACAGAGGAAGCCAGCCAUGAUGUCAUGAGGACACGAGCAGCCUGUGGAGAGGCACAGGUGGGGAGGAACGGGAACCUGCCACCAAGAACCAGUAUGUACUUACCAGACGUGUGUAAGACAAUUUGGAAAUGGAUCCUUUGGCCCCUGUCAGGGCUUCAGAUGAUGCCAGUCCUGGCCAACAUCUUGACUGAGACCUCACAAAAGACCCUGAGCCAGAAUUGCCUAGUCAAGCUGUUCCUGAAUUUCUGACCCAUAAAAACUGUGAAGAUAAUAAAUUGUUGUAGGCCACUAAAUUUGGGGGCAGUUUGUCUUACAGCAGUAGGUAAUUAACACAGGCCACAAGAAUUUGGAAGUCCCCCUAAAUAUACCCAACACCAUAACAGAAGAUACUACCACUGAGACAGUAUGGCAAACCCGUGGAAGAUGUCCAUUUCCUUGUUUCCUGCUUUGGCUCAUAGAGAAACCAACUCUCUAAGCUGGCUCCCAUGAAAGCCCACUGUGCUGGUGCAGCCAGAAACACUGUCUCUAUUGCUAGUGCUUGCCCAAGGCACUGAUAUAAACUGCUGCCAGUGUUGUGAUCAAGGCUUCUGAUGCCCACACAGAGGUCCCCAUCUCAUGUUGCUGCCAAGCCAUUGGCAUAAACUCCCAUCAUCUGAGAAGCCACUGGCAGCAAAGCAGCCUUCAUUACAGGGAGGUGGUUCUUGUGUUCACUUGUACUAUGACCGCGGCCAGAACCCCAGUAUGGAGGAGGGGUAGCAGAUAACCCUGUGUACAGAACCAGCUCACCAAAAGCAUGGUCUGUGGCUAGAGAUAUGGCCCAGAUUGCAGUGUUUAUUUACCAAGUUAAACAGGCUAAAGCCAGAUCAGCAUAUCAAAAAUGACUCAAGCAACAGGGAGAGUUUAGCUAUGAACUCAGUGAGUCAGGGCCAAGGGCAUUGAUUACGUACAGAGUUGAAAGAGGACAGAAAGAAAGCAGACCUGCAAGAGUCCUGGGCUUGGGGUAGCUUUGAAGUGUAUUCCUAUGGCCACUGGUCUGAGCCUCCCACCCUUAGGGUUUGUUUGGAGCCACCAGACCCCUUUCUCCCAUACGCAUUUCAAGGCUAUAGCUUCUUUUUGUGCAUGAAAUUCUCACAGAAUUGCCAGGGCUCAAGACUGUGUCUGAUACUGGCAAGGAAGCUUGAUCACUCUUCUAUUAGCUUAGGUUCCCCCGAAAGAAAGCCCUGAGGCAAGAAUUCAAGGUUAAUGUGGGAUGUAAUCCCAGGAAACAGGAGAGUAGGGAAGUGAAACAGGGAAGGGAAGAAAAUCAAUAAAGAAUGUGUUAUUAGUCAGUGACUAGUGUGAGCCAUUCCACAGGGAAAUUCCACAGAGGGAACUCUGGGAAGUGGUACAGGACACAUGUCUCAGAGAGGCAAGGGGGCAAGGGUGUUUACAGGUAUUUAUAUACCAACUCCAGUCAGCCAUUGUUAAUAUCUGCUAGGGGAGAGAGUGUUAAUUACUGAGGGGACCAACACAGAGAUAGAGACACUGGUUGAUCAGUUUUUUAUUUGUUUAUUGACCAUUUAGGUCUCCCCUUCUGUGAAGUGAGCAUUCAUAUCCUUUGCCCACUUUUCUAUUGAAUUGCUUCUUUUUCUUACGGAUUUGUGUCACUUCUAUAUUCAGUUACUAGUCUUUUCUUCAUUA